AGAGUUUGAUCAUGGCUCAGAAUCAACGCUGGCGGCGUGCCUAACACAUGCAAGUCGAACGCGAAAGCUCCGCAAGGGGCAAGUAGAGUGGCAAACGGGUGAGUAACACGUGGGUGACCUGCCUUCGAGCGGGGGAUAACGUCCCGAAAGGGACGCUAAUACCGCAUAACAUCCUGCCUUUGAAGAGGCGGAGAUCAAAGCCGGGGAUCGCAAGACCUGGCACUCGGAGAGGGGCCCGCGUCUGAUUAGCUAGUUGGUGGGGUAAUGGCCUACCAAGGCAACGAUCAGUAUCCGGCCUGAGAGGGCGGACGGACACACUGGGACUGAGACACGGCCCAGACUCCUACGGGAGGCAGCAGUGGGGAAUUGUUCGCAAUGGGCGCAAGCCUGACGACGCAACGCCGCGUGGAGGAUGAAGAUCUUCGGGUCGUAAACUCCUGUCGAAUGGGACGAAUGGGUUGCGGGUUAACAGCCCGCGACAUUGACGGUACCGUUAAAGGAAACCCCGGCUAACUCCGUGCCAGCAGCCGCGGUA
rnacentral:rRNA from 1 species